GACGAACGCUGGCGGCGUGCCUAAUACAUGCAAGUCGAGCGGACUUAUUCCUUCGGGGAUAGGUUAGCGGCGGACGGGUGAGUAACACGUAGGUAACCUGCCUGUAAGAUCGGGAUAACUAUCGGAAACGGUAGCUAAGACCGAAUAAUUGGUUCUGGUGCAUGCCGGAAUUAUGAAACGCGGAGCAAUCUGUGGCUUAUAGAUGGGCCUGCGGCGCAUUAGCUAGUAGGUGAGGUAAUGGCUCACCUAGGCGACGAUGCGUAGCCGACCUGAGAGGGUGAACGGCCACACUGGGACUGAGACACGGCCCAGACUCCUACGGGAGGCAGCAGUAGGGAAUCUUCCGCAAUGGACGCAAGUCUGACGGAGCAACGCCGCGUGAGUGAUGAAGGUUUUCGGAUCGUAAAGCUCUGUUGCCAAAGACGAACAGCUAGGAGAGUAACUAAUCUUAGCCUGACGGUAUUUGAGAAGAAAGCACCGGCUAACUACGUGCCAGCAGCCGCAGUAACAC
rnacentral:rRNA from 1 species